AUUGAACGCUGGCGGCAUGCUUUACACAUGCAAGUCGAGCGGCAGCGCGGGGGCAACCCUGGCGGCGAGCGGCGAACGGGUGAGUAAUGCAUCGGAACGUAUCCUCGAGUGGGGGAUAACCCAGCGAAAGUUGGGCUAAUACCGCAUGAGCUCUGAGGAGGAAAGCGGGGGACCUGCGAGGGCCUCGCGCUGGAGGAGCGGCCGAUGUCCGAUUAGCUAGUUGGUGGGGUAAAGGCUUACCAAGGCGACGAUCGGUAGCUGGUCUGAGAGGAUGAUCAGCCACACUGGGACUGAGACACGGCCCAGACUCCUACGGGAGGCAGCAGUGGGGAAUUUUGGACAAUGGGGGCAACCCUGAUCCAGCCAUGCCGCGUGAGUGAAGAAGGCCUUCGGGUUUUAAAGCUCUUUCGGACGGAACGAAAUGUGCGGGACUAAUACUCCUGUCUGAUGACGGUACCGUAAGAAGAAGCACCGGCUAACUACGUG
rnacentral:rRNA from 1 species